UGAGCAAUCUGCCCUUCUCAUCGGAAUAAGCGUUGGAAACGACGUCUAAUGCCGAAUACGACCUCCUUUCGCAUGAUCGGAGGUGGAAAGCUCCGGCGGAGAAGGAUGAGCUCGCGGCCUAUCAGCUAGUUGGUGUGGGUAAUGGCCCACCAAGGCGACGACGGGUAGCCGGCCUGAGAGGGUGACCGGCCACACUGGGACUGAGACACGGCCCACGACUCCUAACCGGGGAC
rnacentral:rRNA from 1 species